rnacentral:rRNA from 1 species
CCCCUAGAUGUUCUGGGCCGCACGCGCGCUACACUGAACAGUUCAACAAGUCUUAACCUUGGCCGAUAGGUCUGGGUAAUCUUUGAACGCUGUUCGUGAUUGGGAUAGACCUUUGCAAUUAUGGGUCUUCAACGAGGAAUUCCUAGUAAACGCAAGUCAUCAGCUUGCAUUGAUUACGUCCCUGCCCUUUGUACACACCGCCCGUCGCACCUACCGAUUGAAUGGUCCGGUGAAUGACUCGGACUGCUGUCGGCCUUCACGGGCUGACGGUGGAAAGUUUUGUAAACCUUAUCACUUAGAGGAAGGAGAAGUCGUAACA